rnacentral:rRNA from 1 species
AGUUUUUAACUCAAGUGGCGGACGGGUGAGUAACACGUAAGAAUUUGCCUUUAGGAGGGGGACAAGGAUAACAUCUGAGAAAUACCCCAUAUGCUUUCGAGUGAAAUGGAUUUUUACGCCUAGAGAGAAGCUUGCGGCUGAUUAGCUUGUUGGUAAGGUAAUGGCUUACCAAGGCGACGAUCAGUAUCUGGUUUGAGAGGACGAUCAGACACACUGGAACUGAGACACGGUCCAG